UAAGUUUCCCAUCACCUUGGGUAGGUGAUUACUAUACGAGUUGCGGAAACGAAAUUUGUUUACAUCGGCGGGUCGGUCGUCGUGUUUGUUUGUUCGUUCCCUUCCCCCCUCACUCGUGGAAAUUCUGACGAACGUUUUCGUCCACGAUUCUGGUAUAUAUUAUGUAUACACAAUAAUGUGAGGGACAACGUGGCGGGCAACCAAGACAACUGAUAUUAAAUUCCGGAGAGAAUAUAGCGCGUAAUAAUAGCCGACGGGUUCGUUUUAUAUAAAUAAAGUUUCGACGAUAUUUCGCACGCGACACG